CAGACAUACAGCUAUGUUGAAAUCCUACCUGGAUGAAGAGAGUACAAAAACCACUUCUUACGCUUAUAAAAAUGAUACCUGAAUGGUCAAAGCAAAAGCCUAUGGAAAUAUAUUCCCCCUGUGCGGUAUUCCAUAACCAUGUUGACCCAGGGAAGAGAGCAGCUGCCUGCUUUACCCAGUUUUAUUUCCUGUCUUAUAGAGGUUGUGUAAUGUAUAAUGUAAUAAAGGAAGAAAUGGCUCCAAAUGCUUCAAAGGAGAGUUCUGCACCUGCUAGCAGAAGGAAAAUAUGACCUCCCCAGAUUCCUACGUGUGAAACAUAACAUUCCCCUGUUUGCAAAAGCCCAGCAGAAACCUUGUGGAUGUGCCCUGUUCCCUUGAAUUUUCUUACAAGGUGACCUGCAUCCUAAUUGUCCUGAGUAUUUUGCCCUUCAAUAUCAAAUACUUGCUUCAAAUUCUAAUCAUAUUUUCAAUACUGUUGUCCUUUUCGUAGCAGCUCCUUAAAGUAUUUUCACAAAUGGUUAAGAUUCACAGAACCUUGUUGAUGCAGGGCAGUAUUAGUAGCCGCCUUAUGAGAUGAUGAUAAAUAGAUUUAUAAAGCUAGCACAAUGACAUUUUAAGUUUCUACUGGUUAGAACCUUUGGAGAUCAACUUAGGGACCAUCUGCAGCUGCCACUGACUUCUCAGAGAACUACAAAAACUGGGAUCCAAUGCUGAAAUUUCUGUUGUGGCUGUGGUGACCUCAGCAUUUAUAUCUAGAGGGGACUUUGAUUAAUGUAGGAUGUCAAAAUCUUCACGAGACCAUGGGGACCAGACUUAGCCCAAUGCCUGAAACUGGCUUGUGAUUAGUUUGUUUUCAGAUGUGGUAGCAAUUCUUCUGGAUGCUAGAGUCUUGAAAGUACCAUUCCUCCUAUUUCAACAGCACAGUUAGUUUAAAAAAGUGCAUAUUUAAUUGCAAUAUAGGCUGGAAUUAUUUUCAGAAAGCAGGGGGCUUAGGAGCACAGCUUUAAACUUCCUGGCUUUUGCUCAUAUUCCUGCCACGGUUCCCAGUAAGAUUUCUCUUUCAUCUACAUUUGCUGUAGUUCCUUCUUUCUUACUUUCUAAUAAUUUAAGAGACAAGAUGACAGAACAGAUUAAAAAAUAUCUAUAAAUAAUACCGUACGUAAAGAGGCAUUUACCCACUGAGUCUUAAAACUCAUUCCCUGAUUUGGACCUAUUUUUAUAAGCUUCAUCUCACUUGACACUGACAAUGAUUCACAUAAAUAUUAAGUGUUCAUUUUUAGUCCAGUGCACAUAAGUGAAGCUAAACUGUAGUGUUCUUUGGAGUUUUUACCCCAAAGAUCCUUACUUUGGAUGGAAAGAGGGUUAGGAGGAUGCAGCUCCGAAGCACUCUACAAUCAUCACGUAUUAGCUAGUGUAGAUGGAGCAUUUUUAAAUUUUUCAAUGACAUUCACAUUUCAAAUGGGUUUUUUUUGUUGACUUCUUUUUUUCUGUAGGAUAUAAAAAUAGGGUGUGUUAUUCUGAAUUAAAGUCUAAACCUGAAGGCUUUGGAAUAAUGUACUUUCUUAUUUAUACCCCUCUGUUGUGUUGUGGUUGUGUUCAACUCUAUCACUAUUCUUUUGCUGAAUCUUGUUUUUUAAUUAAAGCAGUCCUGAGAUGUUUUAUUAAUUGUCCAAACACUUUGUUCUUUAGGCUAUGCAGCAAAGCUAUUUAAACACUGAAAGAAUUUUUUUUUCCAAUGUUUGUCACUUCUAAAUUCUAUUACAAUUGUGUUUCUGUUACAGCAGGAGUAUAUUUGAUAACAGAUGGUAAAACUGCAAAACUGUCUCCGCUUCAUUAGCGCCCCUGGCAAGUCUUCCUAUAUAAGGAGCUGCACAGAGAUCCCUAAACCAUCGUGCAGAGAUCCCUAAAUCUUUGUGUGUGGCUCACCCUGGAGUCCAGUGCAUGAGGACAACAUAUGGUUAUUUCCUACCAGGAACUGGCUUCCAACAAAAGUGAAGAUGUAGGAAGCAACUGCCAGUUUUCCUGGAUGCAGGAGUGAUGGAGAAGAUGGUGACGGAGAAGUCCCGCUCUCUGUGCACCACAGCUCAGGCACAUACUGCACCUUUGGAAAGAUCACAGCCUCGGGUGAUCUGCUACUGCAGUCCAGGUUGGUUUGGAAAACACUACAUCUGAGUAUAGUGUAAAGCCUUUCCUUAGAUGUUGUUAACUUGCUGUUUUUAUAGUACAAGCAUUUAGAGGUGUCACAGAAAUUAUAACUCUAUUGUGCUAGCUACUGAAAUAAACAUAGUAAGGGAGAGAGGAAAAACAGGCAAAGCAAGCAACCUGAGAAAUUUUGUUUUCCUAUUUUGAAAAUGACAUACUAAGAUGAAACAUCUUGUAUGAUUUCACACACAGUAAAAUUCAUAGAAAAUGAGAGGGGCUGAAACAUACCCAAAUGAUGUACCAUACUGAGCUAAUAAAACGUAGUGUUUGUGUGCUUGUGCCCACUGCAAAUGUUCGUUUGCUGAGCUAAAUGUGUGUGACCUGCCUUUGCACUAUUGGCAUGCUGCAGAUGCUCUUCCUGAGAGGAUCCUUCAGCGCUAACACAUGCAAUCAAACAGGGCCUUGGCCAAAUCUUCUAACAAAUGCUCACUCCAUAAACUGCAUUAUUUCAGUUGUUUGCAAUAAUUUGUCCAAAUGUCAGGUUUGGGGGCUUUUUUUAGGGUUUUGUUUUUUGCUUUCUAGUAAAUUUCCACCGUGUAGGUCUGUGUACUCAUCUGAGGACAUGUGGGAAUAUUCUGAAUGAAUGUUAAAAAAUCACCUAGUAAGAACAAAGACUUACCCUCCUGUCCCAACCAGGAUAUCUGUUGAGAACAGUAAAUGCACAGUUUUAGACAUUCUUAUUGCUGAUGGCAAUAUGGACAUGAAGAUAAAUUUGUGGUUUGGAGUUGAAGACGCUAUAGAAUUUUUACUGAAUUUCAAACUUUUUAUUUGCCUGUGGUCCAAGCCACUGACACAGUGAAAACUGAGCUUCUUUGCUUGGUAAAGCAGGUUCUUCAAAAGAUGCUUUCUUUAGAACAGUGCACUUUUGCACUAUUGAUUUCCUGCUGCUUAGACAUAACUAACAUUUUAAGUAAUCUAUACAGUUUUGAAAUUUACAUUAGGUCUUUUAAUAAAAUCCCUAGCACCUCAGGGACUUCUUGGUAGGAUAGACAGUGAACUCCUAUCAACUGAACACUAAACAACAGAACGCUAAAUUUCGAUACCGUUUAAGCAAAACUCUGACCCAAGCUGAUCUGCUACUGGCCCAAAAUCAGAAAACCAAACACCACCCCACAGUUGCCUCAGUCUGGGUAUUGGUUAAACUAUCACAGCACAGUCAGGUUGUUCUUGGUUUGUCCUUACAAGUGCUUUACUGAAAAAUCCUGAGUUAAAAUCAGUGCUGCAUUAUGCGGGACACAUUCCUGAGAAGUGCUAAGAUGUACUGUCACUAGAUUUCUUGCAGAACUCCACAGUAGAAGUGAAGGGGAGAUCCAUGCUAAAAAGGGAAACGGGAAUAGCACAAUGUGGCUGAGAUCAUGUUGUGGUGUUUUUAGAGUAGAGAUCAAAGGAUGCUGUGAAGGCAAGCCCUUUUGCAUUGCGUGUGUGGCAAUUACACAAUUGUCCUUGUCCUGAAAAAUUUUACCUGAAAUAGGUGUGCAUGAAAUAGAUGUACAUGGGUCUCUGGUUGGAUCCCACUAAAACCAGUGAUAGUUGGGACCAUGGCCCUACAAAGUGGGGUGGGAUUUUAGUGAUGGUCUGUUUGCUUCUUGUCUGUGUCCUUUUCUACUCUAGGACUUCACCUCCCUUCUGCUGGAGGUUGUAGGUGCUCAGCAUUUUAGAGAUUUCUUCUUAUUCAUUUUGUUUGGAAGUCUGUUAUCAAGUCUGAAGCAUUCUGACUGAAGAUUUUAAUCUAAUUAAUAAAUGGAUAAAUCACAGAACUGACCUCUGCCGUCUAUACGUCUAUAUAUAUGUCAGUGUAAUGAAGACUGAAAGAAGCCCAAACUGGAAAAUAGAACAGGGCUAUUGGAAUACAUUUUUAAGGGAAAUCUGCAUCUAAAUUUCUUAGGUAUGUUAAAUGAUAAGCAACCCAAGCUGACCAGAUCUUUCUGUAUUUAUGAAUAUGUUUUUUGAGGGCAAAGUUGACCAGCAAGAGAAAUUCUGAUGCCGUAGAAACAAGCAGUUAUUAAGUAACUGUUGAUGUAUCUCUGUGUACAUUUAAUUUUUUUUUCUGAAUGGGUAGAUGAUCAAGGAAAUUCAGAGAAGAUCAAUUUGGUUGUGCAGAUAAAAAUGUAUGUUUUAGCUUGUACUUGCCUCUGAAAAUUAUAAGACUCAGAAGAAAAAGGCUUUGCCUUUUCUAUUUAAAACCAAAUAAUCCGUUUUAUCGCUUCUUACAAGGGACAGUCUAUCCCAGGUUUUCAAGUAUAAAGCCAGCAUGAUAUUUUAAGCUAUUUUUUGUAGCCACAACACCUCAGUGGUCGUGACCGAAGAUUUUUCAAAGUAAAUCUAGCAGUACUGAGAUUUACUGCUGCUCCUGAAGUAUCAACAUAAUUACGUAAGUGUGUGCCAGCAGUGUGUGCCUGUGUUGGUAGCUCAUGUGCAGCACACACAUCGCUGCCUGUCUUCAGUGCACUGAAACCUGAGAUUUAUUGCAUUUACAAAAGGCCAUUACAAUGCAAUUUUAACUUACUGUCAUUAAAGGGUCUUACAUCAUAAGCAAUCACUGCAAAAAGCCUUGGCCCACGAUUUAUUCAUAAUUUUUAUUGCAUGAUUUAUUAGUGCUUCUGUUACACUUUAUAAAUCUUACCAGAAAGAAAUUAAAAUCAAUUAGGGCCUAGUCCUUUCACCUUUUCCCAUGUUGGGUUGGUACCUUGUUCUCAGCCUGAAGGAAACAGGGAUAUUCCUGGAGUAAGCUAUCACUACGGGAGUAGGAGUGAAGAUAGCAAAAUCUGGUUACUUAGUGAGCACAGGAAAGAGAUGUAAAAAUUAUUCUAGAAAUGACAGCAUUUGGUUUAUAUUCCAGGGGGAGGAGGUGGUUCUCCAUGGAUUCAUAGAUUUCUCUGAUUUCAUCCGAUCCUACCGCUUCUGUGUACCAUUUGGAGUGAAUCACAUAUUUAUGUAAUUCAAUAUUCAGCAGGGAAAGCCAAGUCAGCCUUCUAAACUGUUCUUUCCUCAGAUCAUAUUCAGCAUAUAGUAACUGAGAAGCUAAUGUAAGACAAUUGCAAAGAUCUCAAAAUGCCUUUUCUAUCAGUCUUAUACUCCAAGAAUGUACGGAAAUUUCAUAAAAUCAAGCUUAUACAAAAUGGAAACUCGGUUUUGCCAUCUGUAUUUGCAUGAGAAGGAAUUACACGCUUGAUUAUCAAUGAGGGCCCAAUUUUUCUAUCUGAAUAUCCCUGCUUGCCCUUUUUAUUACGAAACAGAGCCCUUGGAUAUGAUUUAGUUGAACAUUAAUUGAAGUCAUGUGGUUUAAAGGGGGAUGUAUUCUACAGUCCUUUGCAGUAAAAAAUGCCAAUAAGAUCCUGAUGAGCUUUGUCAGUAUUAGAGCUCUAUGUUUUGAUGCAGUGUGCUAAAGAAGACCAUGUCUUUAAAAGAUUAUGAAAAUGUGUAUUUGAAUAUGUAUGCUCCUAAUAAAUUGCUAAGAUCUACUGCACUUUAGUGCUUUGGAAUGGAAAUAUGCACUGUGUCUAUUAAAAAAAAGCAGUACACAGCAAUUAAUUAGUUAUCCUGAAACACUGCAGGAAAAUUCAUUUCUAUCCUUGAAGCUGGUGGUAAUUUUGGCUGAGUUUCAAUAACAGUAAGGCUGGGCCCUCUGUUGCUGAUUUGCUAACAUCUCUCCUUAUGUUAAGAGAAAGGCAGUAUGUAUAGACUUUACUAAAGUACUACCAUAAAUAUACACACAUUUUUACAAAUAACAAAGACAAAUACUGUUAAAUGCUAGAUCGCACAGCAGAAGGGAAGAACAAUAAGGACAGAUAGUUUUCUUAGGUAUAGUCUAAUAUACCACAUUUCUGUGAGCAGUUCUAAAAUAGAAAUAUUAUAAUUGAUCCACAGAUCUUUUUAGCCUUUGUCUCAUGAUAGACCAACAGAGAAUUACCAGUAUUUUGUUGCCUUUUUUGCCCAAACCAAAACCAAAAUAGCAAAUGUUAGGAGAAGGGCAAAGAAAAUAACUGAAGGUACAUAGGGAUGGAUUAAAGAGAGAAGAGACCAAAUACCUUUCUGAACCCAGCCACUAAAUUUACAUGGAUUUCAGUGGCACCACGGUUACUUCUGCAGAAAUAUUUUGGGGUGGUUUAAUUUUGAAGUCCUUCCUCAUAUGGAAAUCCCACUCAGCAUCGUAGGAGGUGGCAGCAAUAGGAAGGCAUAUAUAUGUGUAUGCAUAUGAUGGUAUGAUCCAUACAAUCACAGUUUUGGCUAAAUGAAGUAAAUUUUGUAACCUAGAAACAUUAAAAUUAAGUGAGAUAAAAAAAUAAAUUAAAAUGGCAACAGAUGCUGUUCUUUUUUAAGGUUUUAGAAUAAUAGAAAUAAAAUUGGAAAUAGGCAAAUAUAUUUUAAAAAUGUCCUUGAAUCCAAACUGCUAAGACUGUACUAGGCAGCCAUGGAUUUGUCAGGUGGGUAACAUCAUCUCUCUCAUCUCCCUGUGAGAUUGAGACUUCAAAGAGAUUGUAAGAUUUUCUGAGCAGACAUCAUAUCUUCCUGUGUGUUUCUGAACAGCUCAAACUGGUGAAGUCAUGAUUCUGCAUGGCUGUUCUGAUAGUUUUAAUUUUUUGUGUGUAUGGUAGUUUAAAAAUCUUACUUCUGAAUUCAGAUGGACAAUUCCCAGGAGUUACUUGUGUACCUGUUCCCACCAUGACCAAUUUGAUACUGGACAGGAUGUGGGACUUCUAACUGGUAUUGCAAAGGUUUCUUUGGUCAGGAUGCAGAGAAGACUACCAUGCUCACUAGUGGGUUAUAUAAGGAUUUGCAGUAACAUGUUCCUUGAUGGGAGAAAAUAUGAAUAAAAAGGAAUUUUAGGAACUAUAUUAAUAAUGAAUGAUAGAAUGGUAGUUAAUAGAUGACUGUAAUUCCAUUAUACUACAAGUGCAAGGGAAACCUCAUUUGAUGUGGAAAGAUUCUCAUUUUUCCAGAGCUGUAAUGCAGCAUGCAGUUAAAAUUAGGCGGUCUUGUUAAUUGUCAAAGUAUAUGGUGAGAAUUCCUGCAGCUAGCUUCAGUGCAGGAUUAGAUAUGCCUCUGCAGGAGGCACCUUCCAAAAAGGCUCAAGUGGGAGAGCAGCUCUAGUGGGGCCCCUUUGGAGCUGAGGAGGAUAAAGGAAAGCGACUGGGGCAGCUCUCAUCCCCUCUGUCCCUGUCUAUUCAUGCCUGGUGGGAGUCUCCAGACCACUGUCUGUGGAGCGCUCCUGCACCAAGUGUGUCCUGCGUCACACAUCUGUGGAAUAAGCUCCCCUUGUGAAGGAUGGGGAGUAUCUGUUCCCACUCCCUGAUAUCUGCCUCAAUUCCUGAGCUAAGCUGUGCUGGCCAGGGGUAAGGAACAGGCAGAAUCACCCCAGCCUCUAAUCCUCAAGAUAGUGUGGUAAUUCAGGAAUUAGGAACCCAUAAGCCUUUUUAUACCUAUGAGCUGUACUUUAUAUAGAGAAAAAGCAGUUUAAAUGAACACAGCAAGGUUGAAAUGCUCUUGAAUGUAUAAAAGAAAGAUGGAAGAAAUCCCUGGGGAACACCUUUUUCUCAUCUCUUUACCACUAUCCCUUUUUCCUGUCUCCUUUUCAGUGUCAGAUACUCGUCCUUCAAAAGUCACCCACUGAGGAAAGCAGAUUCUUCUUUGUGAAGGAUGUGAAGGGGAAACAUGAGGGAAAAGUAAGUGAGAGUUUUGCUUUUCCCCUUACAGAUAGAAGCAGUACAGCAUAUGACAGGAUUGCAAGUCAAGAUGUUGAGGACUUUCCACACGACUCCAACCAGCUUUCAUUUAAAACUGGUAAAAAUGUUUAUUUGGAAGGACUACAAUAGCUUUCCUGAGGGUUCACUAAAAGAGCUUAACUGUCCAAUUUGAAUGUGAGCAGUAGCGCACAAUCUCAGCUGAAUGCUCCUUGUUCUCAAACACUGACUAACCCAAGGAAUGUGAAUUAACACAAACACAACUUUAUCCUGCUGUGGAGGAGGAGGAGGAAGGGGAAUAAAUAUGUUAGACUACCUGCAGGCCAAACUCCCUAGGAAGUCAGUGGGAGCUUUACUAGUGGAAGGACAGCAUGACCAGACAUAAAUAUAAAGGCGCGAGGAUGCUAAGAAAAUAUUUUCCACACUUUUGUGUGGGAUUCAUGAAGUCUAGUAAGUACAGAGGGCAGGAACUCUAUUACUGUGUAACUCUCUGUUGCUUUAGCAUCGCUUUCUGGCUGACUCUAUUUUCCCCUUUGUGCCUACUUAGAAAAAAAAUAAAUUACAAAGUUGUCUGAUGGACAACUGUCUGAUCUGUCUGGACAGAUGCUUUUGACAAUCCUCCUGCAUCUUCCCCAUCACCUUUUCACUACUCUGUUCAGAUCUUUAGGCACUAGACUUUGCCUCUGAUAUCCAAACGUAGAUUCUUUAGGUUAAGAAGAAGUGUAAUAUCUGCUUAUCUUACUAAGAUAGGUGUCUAAGGUAGUCUGUCAUUUGAAACAAACUAUAUUUUCUUAUUACAGAUACAGAAGAUGAUGCAAUUUUUGAAGUGUUUCCUCUUUUUAGAAAGAAUUACAUUAUUAAGAAAUUAGCGUGGAGAAAACUUGAAAUUAAUUAAAAUCAGCCACUAUUGUUUUAACAAGCAACUGUUGACUAUGUUUGGCCUAAAAACAAAUGAUUAAUGACUAGGAGCUUUGCUUAACCAAAGUUAAGAAAUAAACAAAAUUUGCAGAGUUAGCUGAUUUUGCCUGACACACACGAAUGCACUUCCAGUCUUCCUUGGCUGUCUACAAUGAGAUCAGAAGUAAUUUAGUAUGAGUCAGGUGGAGGUGAAGAAAAACAGUCAAAUCUACUUGUAUUUGCAAGCAAUGUCCAUCAAAAUCCAAGAGUGGCUGGAUUUGAGUAAAUGCUGAGUUUUUCAUAGACGGUUCCUAAACAUUCACUGAUCUAGCAUACCAGAUACAGUCCAGAGAAUCUUGCUUUAUACAGAGACAUGCAGCUUUGCAUUUAAUCUUAAUAUUCAGAGACUGUAUUCCUUCUAGUUGCUCAAGUGUAACACUAUAAUGGUUAUGUAAACUGGUGCUUACAUUGAGAUGUUAUUUUGACAUGCAUUUUGGUGCCAUAUGUAAACAUCAAAGGUGUAUAAUAACCACCCUUGGUACAGGUCCCAGUUCCAUUUAGGAAGAGGAAAUAUUGUGAUUUUUUUUUUUUUUUGACAAAAUGGCAAUGUGAAUUUAGAUUUUUGCACAACUGAAUUGCAGUUUGUAAAUAACAGUAGCACACUCAAUUAGAAAUGCGGUAACAGUGGAUUUGUUGCCUGACUCUACCAAUGAUUGCCUUAAUAUACAAUUCACUUGUUAAUGAUGUUAUCAGUUAUUUUACUGUAAAUAAGCUAUUGUAAGCUUCAGGUCUUUCUGCAAUAUCUGUGUUAGGUUACAGAAGCAUAAAUCAAACUCCCAUCUCUUUUUAUAUUCAUAACCAUAAUGUAUGGCUUUUAUUAGGAAAUGUUAAGUGUCUUAAUAAUGUCUUCUUAAUGGACAGUGUGUGCAUGUGUUAAUGAGGAAAGCCAUUUUCUUUCAUGCAAAAUAUUAGUGCAUGUGGCCUUCAUCUCCAUAGAUACAAGUUAAAGAAUCAUAUUUAACUCACAAAAUAUUCAGUGUAUUCAUAAUUAUCUAAUUUUAACAAUCCUUUAAAGAAAGAACAAAUUAGAAGUAAAUCAGAAGUUGAAUUCUAACAGGCAUGCACAAGUGAUUGUGAAUAAAUGGUACAUCAUCCACUCUAAAAACCCACUCCCAACAAACCCAAAUAAUUUUAUAAUAUACUAUUGCUAAAUCAAAAUACCCUUACAGAAUUUAAAUCCUUCUAGAAUUCCAGCCUGUGCAUCACAAAGACUCCUAGUAUUGGUUAUAAAUCUUUGUCCUUCUCCUGAAAUAUCAUAAUGCCUCCAAGCAAAAGGGUGUUUUAACUUCUGUAUCCUUUUCAUUGGGACAACAUUAUCCAUUUGAACCGCUUUUGAACCGCUUCCCAAAAUCUUGAACAAGCACAUUGCUUUCACUUGAAAUGUGUUUUACCAACAGAUUCCUGGAUACUAGAGAGAUCUGCUUUUCAAAUUGUCAGCUAACACCGGGCUUGUUAAAUUAAUGGAAACCAAGCAUUUUGAAGGAUACCCUACAGCCUUGCAUUUCCAUGCUCCCUUGGCAGAAAUCAGGGAUUUGAAAGCUGCAAUACAACAGCAUCAUCUUUUCAUCUUGUGGUAAGGAAUCUAUUAUUCCUUUAUCCUCCAUGCUGUUUAAAGGAAUUCAUUUAAAGUAUGAACUCCUUUGUUUGGGGAGGAAGUCUCCAAAUGGUACGCAAACAAGAACCUUUAGAAAUGUAGCAAGAUAUAAUUCCAGGCUCUGCUCCAGCUUUCCCCAUUCAUUCAGUUUGCAGACCUGGUGUCUCCCUGCUGGAGAUCUCUGCUCAGACCAAGUCUCCGCCAGCUGCUAUUCCACCACCCAUUCAUACAUGGCCAGCUCCCCUCUCCCUGCUCCUUGCACCUCCACUUCUCUUUCUUCCAUCCAUCCAAAUCUCUCCCUAAUCUGAUAUCAUUUCUUUGAUCCUUUUCAGGAACACUGAUCACCCUCCCCCACCAAAGCACCACUCAUCUCUACCCAGGGCUGGCAGCAAUUAAGCUGGAACAAAGGUACAUUUAAGAGUAAAGCCUAUGCCAACCAAUUUCUUUAUGAAAGCACUAUCCUCCAUCUGUUCCCCUAGUUAUCAAAUUGACUAUCUUGGGAGUUAAUCCUGCUGCUGUUCCUGAAGCAAAUGUUUUCAGUACUUUUGAUUUCAGGAACAGAAUCGGGCCCUAAUUAAUGUAAUUAUCCUCAUAGCUAGAGGAGGUGCCUACUUGAAGGAAUCGGAUGACUGUUACAGACCAUUUUUAUCCACACUUAUUCUGUGAACUGCACCAGUGUGCAUUCCCUUUCCAAAACAACUGCAGGCACCAGGAGGGGAGGAGCUGUCCUUCAGUAGCAGGCAAGAAACCUGUCAAACACAGUGUCCCUUCAACAUGAAUGAAACCGUUUUCUCUGAUUAAUACUUUGCAUUUCCCACAAGGGAAAAAGAGUGAGCAGCUGAAUUACCCAUUUUCAGAGAAGCAUGUUCAUAAAUAUUUAACUUGGUAUGUAUGAGAAAAGAGAAAGGCACUGACUUCCUUUCCAGUCCAGGCUGAAACUCUCCAAAUCCCCUGGUACCACUGAGACUGCCUGCUCCCAUAAUCCUUCCUCCAUCUCAUAAAGAGCCAUUAGCUUGUAACAGGGCUGGACAAGGUGUCUCUCUUUACUGGGGGAUGUCUGACUGUAAAAAUCUAUGCAUAGAGGAAAAUGACCUGGUGUAAUGGAGACCUCUCUGGCCCAUGACUGGGACCUGUCCCCAAGCUGUUCUAGGAGUUUUAGGAGCCUAUUAGAAAAUACUAUGGGUCUCUGGAGGCCCACAUCUGAGUUCACAAGCUUGGGCCCUGGUGUCUACUCAUAUGCAUGGGGCCUGCUUGAGAGUGUGGGUUACAUCCCCACAGACCCCACAUGGUUUUUGUAUAGCCACACACAUGGAUGGCUGCUCUGCUCUGACAGCGGAGAGCUGGUGAUGCUGGGAGGAAGUGGAACCACGGGGAAGUUUGAGUGUUUUGAUGAGGCUGUUGAUUGCAU